CUCUCUCAUUCUCUCUUUCAAAUAAAUAAAUAAAAUAAAAUCUUUAAAAAAAAAAAAAAAAGAAACCUAUGGGAGUCUGUCGAGCAGAUUCAAAGGGGGCCUCCGCCCUUGUGAAAAGUCCUUCUAGCCAAAGAACUGGCAUUUGAAGUCUGAAAACUUGGGAUACCUAAAGGAAUGGACCACAGGCGGGAUUCCAUGUUGGCUUGGAAACAAAUUCUUAAGUGAUUAUGUCAGCACAUAUUACGACUGGCAUUCUAUGUUCAAAUAACAAGCAUAGAUGAGGGUUUCCUGUGACUGAUGAACGUGACGAUGUUUCAGCCAAGCUAGCACUUUCCAGCAAUUUGUAUGCCCUCCCCUUGACAGUGUUCCCAGUGAAACAGGUACCUAUUGGGAACAAACCAUCAAAACCAGGUUCCCACAACCUCAUGCCCUCCUGCACCCCCUCAUGAAGUGCUCUGGCUGGUGGUCCUUUGUAAGCCUAUGUGAUCAGGCGUGUCAGAGCCCCUCCUGCCUGCCCAGGGGUGCCCUCUGCUCUCGGGGCGCUGGGUAAAACGGAUGAGAAGACCAAGGCCAGAAGUCAUGUGAUGCCCUUACAAGAGAGCGGUCAGAUCCAAAUCUUCAGCUUUCCUAAGGGAUUGGGAAGAGGGAAUUGUGGUGGCCCCAAGCUACACCCUAAACCCCACCCUUAUUUUAGAACUGGGUGCAGUAGGACACAUGUCUUAGAGCACAGAAGGCACUCUUGCCUGUGCUGGAAGGGGUCCGUGUGUCCUUGGAAGCCGCACGGCGGAUGUGUGGGAAUCCAGGCUUUGCCAUUUAGUGUGGGAUUGUAAGCAAGUGACCUCACUCCCCUGAACUUCCGUUUCCUGCACUGUAAAGAGAGAGAGAGAUGCUUAGCACAGAUGGCUGAGGUGAAAUGCAGAGAUGAAAUAUGAGGUUCUAGCACAGAGCUUUACAGUAAUAGUCACUUAUUAUCAAGGAUGAAAGACCACACAGGUAAGUAAACAGGAAGAAGGUGCACGCCGAUCAAUUUUGUAUCAGAUUUUAAAUCUAUUCAACACAAAUUAUUUGCACUAAGUUAUCCUUGGUUGAAGCUCAGUUAAUAAUAGCUUUUGGUAAGGAAACUCAAAUUUCUUUAAAAAGUAGAUGAAUUGGACAUUUAAAUUUAGUGGCGUCACAAAACGAUAUUAAAUAGGAAAAUUGUCUUUUACAGCAUGUUUUAAAUUUACCACAAUACUGAAAGUAAUUCAUGAUUUAAAUGUGGCUUUUUAUGAAAUGAGAUCAAGGAAUUUGGCAAACUCUCUGGCCCCAGACCCAAGUGGGCGCCGACUGUGUCCCUGGACCUGCGGUGGGAUUUGCAGUGAGGUUUCUGAAGAAGCAGAGGCAGGGAAAGAUGAGGAGAAAGCACAAAGUUCAGAUAAAAGGAUUAAAAGUGAACCAUGGCGCCUGCGUGGCUGUCGUUAAGCGGCUGUCUUCGGCUCAGGUCAUGAUCUCGGGGUCCUGGGAUCGAGCCCCGCAUCGGGCUUGGGGUCCUGGGAUUGAGCCCCGCAUCGGGCUCCCUGCUCAGCAGGAAGCCUGCUUCUCCCUCUCCCUCUCCCCCUGCUUGUGUUCCCUCUCUCGCUCUAUUUCUGUCAAAUAAAUAAAAUCUUUAAAAUAGGGGGGUGGGAGGAUGGGUUAGCCUGGUGAUGGGUAUUAAAGAGGGCACGUACUGAAUGGAGCACUGGGUGUUAUACGCAAACAAUGAAUCAUGGCACACUACAUGGAAAACUAAUGAUGUAAUGUAUGGUGAUUAACAUAACAAUAAAAAUUUUUAAAAAAUCUUUAAAACAAACAAACAAACAAGUAAAUAAAUAAAUAAAAGUGAACCAUGGGUACAAGGAAAGCACCAGAGAAGGAACACUGUUCUGGAGACAGCAGUUUUUCUUCUGAUCAGAGUGAAGUAGAAGUGGUGCUCUCACCAGCCUUCCAAAUCCCUGAGAGCAUUCCCUGCUGGUUCAGGUGUCCUGGAAGGGAGUCAAGUGGGGACAGGGCCAUGGUCUGAAUGUGCGUGUCCCCUCUCCCUGCCCCUACCCCCGUCCCUGCCAAAUUCCUACGUUGAAGCCUAAUGCCCAAUAUGAUGGUACUAGGAGGUCGGGCCUUUUGGAGGUGAUAUUGUCAGGAGGGACAGCUCCUGGGAUUGGGAUGACUGCCUUGUGCAAGAGACCCCGGGGAGCUAGCAUCUCCCUUCUGCCACGUGGACAGCGAGAAAAUGACCAUCCGUGAGGAAGUAGACCCUCCCCGGACACCACAUCUGCUGGUGCCUUGGUUGUGGAUUACCCAGCCUCCAAAACUGUGAGCAAUACAUGUUUAUUGUUUAAAAGCCACCCAGUCUGCUGUGUUCUGUUAACCCCAGCCUGAACGACCUAGGUCACAUGCCGAGCACCAAGCAGUGACUGAGUGAGGCCAGAGGCGCUUUCCUCCCUCUGUCGAGGCAUUGACAGCCAUCAUUCUCCAGAUGAAGCAGAGUCCCAGAGAGGAUAGGCCCGGCUUCCCUCCAUAGGAAUGGGCUCUCCCGUUCCCAAACGGAUGCUGGCCCUUAGAGCUCACUAUGCAGGGAGAGGCCCCUGCCCAACAGCAGCCCCAAGGACCAGCUCUUCUCAGCCACGAUUAACGGCUGCAUGUAUUCAAAUGGUGCUGGCUACUUCCUUUCCAACCAGCAUCACAGUAAAACUUUUGAGUCUAAGCUUCUCCCGGACACUGAAGAAAGACAGUUCCAAAUCAUUCUGGCCACAGGUAGGUAUACAGCAUCUUGGCCAUGGACUCCUGCUUCCUCCAACCCCUCCAGAUUCUUCCUCUGCACGUGCCCACUCUGCUCUAGGCAUUUUGCCCAUUGCUGGGGAAACAACAAUGAAAAGAUCACCUCAUUCUGGAAGAAAGACAAAGAGAAAAUAAUUACAAAUUGUGGUGAUUCUUCUGAAGGAAACAACCAAGUCUACAAAGCCAAAAGGCAACCGACGGAAUGGGAGAAGAUAUUUGCAAAUGUCUUCUCAGAUAAAGAGCUAGUACCCAAAAUCUAUAAAGAACUUUUCAAAGUCAACACCCAAAUUAUCCAAUCAAGAAAUGGGCAGAAGACAUGAACAAACAUUUCUCCAAAGAAGACAUCCAAAUGGCCAACAGACACAUGAAAAGAUGUUCCACAUCACUCGGCAUCAGGGAAAUCCAAAUCAAAUCCUCAAUGAGAUACCACCUCACACCAGUCAGAAUGGCUAAAAUUAACAAGUCAGGAAACGACAGAUGUUGGCGGGGAUGCGGAGAAAGGGGAACCCUCCUCCACUGUUGGUGGGAAGGCAAGCUGGUGCAGCCACUCUGGAAAACAGUAGGAAGGUUCCUCAGAGUUGAAAAUAGAGCUACCCUACAACCCAGCAAUUGCACUACUGGGUAUUUAUUCCAAAGAUGCAAAUGUAGUGAUCCGAAGGGGCACCUGCACCCCGAUGUUCAUAGCAGCGAUGUCCACAGUCGCCAAACUAUGGAAAGAGCCCAGAUGUCCAUCGUCAGAUGAAUGGAUAAAGAAGAUGUGGUAUAUAUAAACACACACAUAUAUAUAUACAUAUAUACACAGUGGAAUAUUACUCAGCCAUCAAAAAAAUGAAAGCUUGCCAUUUACAACAACGUGGAUGGAACUAGAGGGUAUAAUGCUAAGUGAAAUAAGUCAAUCAGAGAAAGACAAUUAUCAUAUGAUCUCACUCAUACGUGGAAUUUAAGAAACAAAACAGAGGAUCAUAGGCGAAGAGAGGAAAAAAUAAAACAAGAUGAAAUCAGGGAGGGAGACAAACCAUAAGAGACUCUUUUUUUUUUCGACACAGAGAAAGAGACAGUGAGAGAGGGAACGCAAGCAGGGGGAGUGGGGGAGGGAGAAGCAGGCUUCCCGCCGAGCAGGGAACCCCAUGCGGGACUCGAUCCCAGGACCCUGGAAUCAUGACCUGAGACGAAGGCAGACGCUUAACGACUGAGCCACCCAGGCGCCCCCAUAAGAGACUCUUUUUUUUUUUUUUUAAGAUUUUAUUUAUUUGACAGAGAGAGAGAUAGCGAGAGCAGGAACACAAGCAGGGGGAGUGGGAGAGGGAGAAGCAGGCUUCCCACCGAGCAGGGAGCCCCAUGCGGGACUCGAUCCCAGGACCCUGGAAUCAUGACCUGAGCCGAAGGCAGACGCUUAACCAGUGAGCCACCCAGGCACCCCGAGACUCUUAAUCAUAGGAAACAAACUGAGGGUUGCUGAAGAGGAGCUCCCAUGGCCGCCUCCACCUGCCCCCGGAGCCCUGUCUUAUGGUAGGAUGAAAGUCUUCGUCUCUGGAAAUGCCUGUCCUGCUCGCACCCUGACCUUCCUGCACACCUGCACCAUUGCCUGCCCCCCAGAGCGGGCCGCGCCCCUCUUACCUGACUUCCCUGACCUCAGAAAUUGCACAGAGACUCAUUAGUUUUGCUUUAGGUCCUCAAAAUGCAUAUGCCCCUGGGAAGAUACGAGUUUGUCCCUUCUCCUGAUGCGAAAGAAUUGAUCAGAUCCUUCCCUGGGAGCAUGUUUUGGUUUAGAGAAAGGAGAAAGGAGAGAAGCUCCGGGGGGAGACUGUGUGCAGGACACCUGGACAGAAGGCAGGGACUCAGAAAAGUGAGACCGGGAGUGACCUUCCAUUGGAUGAGGCCAGCACCUUCUGUCCGCACUAGCGCCUCCUAGCGCCGGCCUGUCAGCUGCCCGCCUCUCCUGUCCUUCCACCGCCAGCCCCUCAAGAGAACAAGGGUUUCUAAAGGAGAACACAGGCAGCAACCUCUUUGACCUCAGCCGAAGCAACUUCUUCCUAGAAACAUCGCCAAAGGCAAGGGAAGCAAGGGCAAAAAUGAACUAUUGGGACUUCAUCAAGAUAAAAAGCUUUUGCAAAGCAAAGGAAACAGUCAACAAAACCAAAAGACAACCGACAGAAUGGGAGAAGAUAUUUGCAAAUGACAUAUCAGAUAAAGGGCUAGUAUCCAAAAUCUAUAAAGAACUCAUCAAACUCAACACCCAAAGAACAAAGAAUCCAAUCAAGAAAUGGGCAGAAGACAUGAACAGACAUUUUUCCAAAGAAGACAUCCAAAUGGCCAACAGACACAUGAAAAAGUGCUCAAUAUCGCUCGGCAUCAGGGAAAUCCAAAUCAAAUCCUCAAUGAGAUACCACCUCACACCAGUCAGAAUGGCUAAAAUUAACAAGUCAGGAAACGACAGAUGUUGGCGGGGAUGCGGAGAAAGGGGAACCCUCCUACACUGUUGGUGGGAAUGCAAACUGGUGCAGCCACUCUGGAAAACUGUAUGGAGUUUCCUCAAAAAGUUGAAAAUAGAGCUACCAUAUGAUCCAGCAAUUGCACUACUGGGUAUUUACCCCAAAGAUACAAAAGUAGGGAUCCGAAGGGGUACGUGCACCCCGAUGUUUAUAGCAGCAAUGUCCACAAUAGCCAAACUGUGGAAAGAGCCAAGAUGUCCAUCGACAGAUGAAUGGAUAAAGAAGAUGUGGUAUAUAUAUACAAUGGAAUAUUAUGCAGCCAUCAAAAGGAAUGAGAUCUUGCCAUUUGCAACGACGUGGAUGGAACUGGAGGGUAUUAUAUUGAGUGAAAUAAGUCAAAAAGAGAAAGACAUGUAUCACAUGAUCUCACUGAUAUGAGGAAUUCUUAAUCGCAGGAAACAAAC